rnacentral:rRNA from 1 species
GUGCCGCAAGGCCGACAGCAUUCGAUCUGGAAGCCUGAUGACGAGCCGGCCACGAAAAGCCCCGUCGGGACGAACCAUCCGGCCCGUACCGCAAUCCGACACAGGUGUGCUAGGCGAGUAUCCGAAGGCGUUCGGGAGAACCCUCGUGAAGGAACUCGGCAAAAUGACCCCGUACCUUCGGUACAAGGGGUGCUCUCCGUAAGGAGAGCCGCAGAGAAUCGGCUCUAGCGACUGUUUAUCAAAAACACAGGACUCUGCCAACUCGCAAGAGGACGUAUAGAGUCUGACGCCUGCUCGGUGUCGGUAGGUUAAGGGAGCCGAUGAGGCGUAAGCUGAAGUUGGCGACCGAAGCCCCGAUAAACGGCGGCCGUAACUAUGACGGUCCUAAGGUAGCGAAGUUCCUUGUCGGGUAAGUUCCGACCUGCAUGAAUGGCGUAACGACUGGAGCACUGUCUCCACGAGGGACCCGGUGAAACUGUAGCCGUGGUGAAGAUGCCACGUACCCGCGGUCAGACGGAAAGACCCCGUGAACCUUUACUGCAGGUUGGCACUGGGUCAGCGUCCUUUCUGUGUAGGAUAGGUGGGAGGCCGUGAUCCGGCGGCGCCAGCCGUCGGGGAGCCACUGGUGAAAUACCACCCUGAAAUGACUCUGAUCCUCACCGGUCCGUAGCCCGGACCGGGACCGUGCUCAUCGGGCAGUUUGACUGGGGCGGUCUCCUCCCAAAGAGUAACGGAGGAGUGCAAUGGUACCCUCGGCCAGGUCGGCAAUCUGGCAACAAGAGCGCAAACGUAGAAGGGUGCCUGACUGCGAGACCCAUCAGUCGAGCAGGGACGAAAGUCGGCGUUAGUGAUCCGGCGGUGCUGGAUGGAAAGGCCGUCGCUCAACAGAUAAAAGGUACUCCGGGGAUAACAGGCUGAUCUCCCCCGAGCGUCCAUAGCGGCGGGGAGGUUUGGCACCUCGAUGUCGGCUCAUCGCAUCCUGGGGCUGGAGAAGGUCCCAAGGGUUUGGCUGUUCGCCAAUGAAAGCGGUACGCGAGCUGGGUUCAGACCGUCGUGAGACAGGUCGGUCCCUAUCUGCCGUGGGCGUAGGAAACUUGCGAAGGGUCUCCCCUAGUACGAGAGGAUUGGGGAGGACCGACCUCUGGUGUACCGGCUGUCCCGCUCGGGGCACCGCCGGGUAGCUAGGUCGGGAAAGGAUAAGCGCUGAAGGCAUCUAAGCGCGAAGCCCUCUUCAAGACGAGGUUUCCAGCACGCAAGUGCGAAGGCUCCUGGAAGACGACCAGGUCGAUAGGCCGGGAGUGCACGGCGAGUGAUCGCCGCAGCCGACCGGUCCUAACAGCCGAUCGCUUGACC